UGCCGGAUGCUCCGACUCCUCGCAUGGGGUGUCGGGAAAGAUUUCAUCGGUAUGGGAUGGGGUCGCGUCCUAUCAGGUAGUCGGCGGGGUAACGGCCCACCGAGCCUACGACGGGUAGCCGGCCUGAGAGGGCGACCGGCCACAUUGGGACUGAGAUACGGCCCAGACUCCUACGGGAGGCAGCAGUGGGGAAUAUUGCACAAUGGGCGCAAGCCUGAUGCAGCGACGCCGCGUGCGGGAUGACGGCCUUCGGGUUGUAAACCGCUUUUGAUCGGGAGCAAGCCUUCGGGUGAGUGUACCUUUCGAAUAAGCACCGGCUAACUACGUGCCAGCAGCCGCGGUAAUACGUAGGGUGCAAGCGUUAUCCGGAAUUAUUGGGCGUAAAGGGCUCGUAGGCGGUUCGUCGCGUCCGGUGUGAAAGUCCAUCGCUUAACGGUGGAUCUGCGCCGGGUACGGGCGGGCUGGAGUGCGGUAGGGGAGACUGGAAUUCCCGGUGUAACGGUGGAAUGUGUAGAUAUCGGGA
rnacentral:rRNA from 1 species